rnacentral:lncRNA from 10 species
GCAAAGGCCUUCUCCCUCCAGGCUUGUCCAAGAAGACGGGGAGGUGGUGGGAGAGAAGAGGAAGAGAUGGAAGGGCUGUGAAAGCGGGGACCGGGUGUCCGUUUCAAAGACAGCAGGGAAUGGCUGAGUUGAAGGAGGGAUGCAGUCAUUUAAGGCGAAGCCCGAGGAAGGAGCAGAGGCGUGAGGGCUGCUGCGUCCAAGACCGGGGAGAGGGGCUGAAAUCGCGGACUCUCUCUGGGGGACCCAGGAGACUGCUCCUCCUGGCAGGACCCCUCUCUCCCAGAGCGGCAUCGCGCAGACAACGCGCCUGGUGCCCGCCCCUCAGGACCGGACGCCGGGUGUCGUGGGGUGCCUAGGACCCCCGCCCGCUUCCGUCGAGCGCCCGCCCCCGGCUUCCCGCGCCGGCUCCAGCGCCCCCGCCGCUCCCUCCCGCAGCCGGCCCCGCUCCCCUCCCCGCCCCUCCCGGCGCGCGUGCGCCCCGUGCCCGCGCCCCUCCC